UAGGGAAUCUUCCACAAUGGGCGAAAGCCUGAUGGAGCAACGCCGCGUGUGUGAUGAAGGGUUUCGGCUCGUAAAACACUGUUGUAAGAGAAGAAUGACAUUGAGAGUAACUGUUCAAUGUGUGACGGUAUCUUACCAGAAAGGAACGGCUAAAUAUGUGCCAA
rnacentral:rRNA from 1 species